AACUAGCGAAGGAUAGCCUUAAUUCUUAGUU
rnacentral:ncRNA from 1 species